rnacentral:rRNA from 1 species
GACGAACGCUGGCGGCGUGCUUAACACAUGCAAGUCGAACGAUGAAGCUGGAGCUUGCUCUAGCGGAUUAGUGGCGAACGGGUGAGUAACACGUGAGCAAUCUGCCCUUGACUCUGGGAUAACUGCGGGAAACUGUAGCUAAUACCGGAUACUUUCACCGGGGGGCAUCCUCUGGUGAUGAAAGAAUUUGGGUCAAGGAUGAGCUCGCGGCCUAUCAGCUUGUUGGUGAGGUAACGGAUCACCAAGGCGACGACGGGUAACUGGCCUGAGAGGGUGACCGGUCACACUGGGACUGAGACACGGCCCAGACUCCUACGGGAGGCAGCAGUGGGGAAUAUUGCACAAUGGGCGCAAGCCUGAUGCAGCAACGCCGCGUGAGGGAUGAAGGCCUUCGGGUUGUAAACCUCUUUUAGCAGGGAAGAAGCGAAAGUGACGGUACCUGCAGAAAAAGCACCGGCUAACUACGUGCCAGCCGCCGCCGUAA